GAUGAACGCUGGCGGCGUGCUUAACACAUGCAAGUCGAACGGAAAGGCUCCUGCUUGCAGGGGUACUCGAGUGGCGAACGGGUGAGUAACACGUGGGUGAUCUGCCCUGCACUUCGGGAUAAGCCUGGGAAACUGGGUCUAAUACCGGAUAGGACGAUGGUUUGGAUGCCAUUGUGGAAAGUUUUUUCGGUGUGGGAUGAGCUCGCGGCCUAUCAGCUUGUUGGUGGGGUAAUGGCCUACCAAGGCGUCGACGGGUAGCCGGCCUGAGAGGGUGUACGGCCAAAUUGGGACUGAGAUACGGCCCAGACGCCUACGGGAGGCAGCAGUGGGGAAUAUUGCACAAUGGGCGCAAGCCUGAUGCAGCGACGCCGCGUGGGGGAUGACGGCCCUCGGGUGGUAAACUCCUUUCGCUAGGGACGAAGCGCAAGUGACGGUACCGGGAGAAGAAGCACCGGCUAACUACGU
rnacentral:rRNA from 1 species